UGUAGUUAAACAGCCCCUUGUCUUCAUUCCCAGGAGCCAGCUGAGGAGGUGUGUCAUGCAACUUGCUGCCCCAGCCCUCCCCUUCUAAGGAACCCCCACACCUGCUCUGUCUUCCUGCUACAGUCUCUGAGAAAAGCCCUUUCAUCUGUCAAGAACUACAAAAGUCAUUCUUUAAGAGUGCUAAAUAAACAAUGAAACAGACACAAAGUUAAAGUUACCUGAUCCAAAAAGGAGUGAAGCCUAGACCCCAGCCCACUGACUCAGUCUCUAAGACCCCUCACUCAAAUCUUCAAUCAACAGUGGAGAUGGCUGUGAGCUCUUCUGAUUCCAGAUGACAAUACUCCUCCCUUUAAUUCCUUGAUAUGUUUAAUUAUG
rnacentral:lncRNA from 1 species